rnacentral:lncRNA from 1 species
AGAGACCACCACAGCCUGUGAGAGUCUCCAGUGGACAACGGUUGUCUGAUUGAGACUCUUCCUGGUGUGCUCAGAAAAACCUGUACUUUUUUUGUUUCAAUUAGUUUUAUAGACAUUUCAAGCUGGGGCCUGCAUUUUUUUGUGCAACCCUGGGGUUCAACAAUUUGAAACUGCUUCACACCAAGAGCAGAGAAACUCGCUCUGUGGUUAUCACCUCAGAGAGACACAAUACCCAAAACCUGAGAACAUUCGCCUUGUUUUGUUGGAGUCAACACAUCUGCCAGAUGUUCUGCACAUAUUUGUCAAUUUCUGUGGUCUGACUCAGAGCACAGGAAGUGUGGGUUCAGCAGAGGACACAUCUGGAACCCCUUUCCUGCUGGAGUGGACAGUGGAGGCAGCGCCACAGUGGAUUUUCAUUGGUGUCUCCCCUGGCUGCCUGGUGGCUGCCUGUCAGAGCCAGCGCUUGAGAACGUGGCUGCUAGUGAAAGUGUUUAUGUGUUUAUGUGACCACAGGUAGCAAACAGAUAAGAAACUAUCCGACUGAGGAGCAGCAAGGGUCUGGAGCUACUGCGAUUGGGUGACCUGGGUAGAGACCCUCCUGGAGAUUUCACUCUGACUAGAACUGGAAGGACAAACCCACCGCAGGUAUAGACUCUUGCAUACAAACUGUGUCUUUUUCCUGAGUCCCAUCUUACAACAAAAGACAUACCCAUCAAAUCAGAUUUGCAAUCGAGUUGUUUGUGUCAAAAGAGAAAUGUUGUAAUUAACCUUGAGACUUUUUUCAAGCAGCAGGUUUGCCUUAUAAAUGAAAAAUAAUGAAUAAGCCAAACUGUACCCAGGGGUAUGACAGAGUUUUAACUGGCUUCAUGUAUAGCCAGUGUGGCUGGGAGAAAUGUGAUCUCCAUUUCAUUUCAGAUCUUUCUCUGAACCUUCCAUAUGCAUGCAUGAUGGAAUGGGUUCCCAAAUCCAGCUUGAAAUGUAGUGCAUGACAUACUACCCACGCAAAUAAAAUGAAUAGUUCAAAAUUAUGGGGCACUGACAGAAAAAGCAGACCUUUUAAUAUCUAGUUUCAUUGAGUAAUGCAUUUAAAAUAAUUUGCAAACUGGAAAGGUAAUUAAAAGGGUCCUUUUACUCCCCUAUGCCACAUGUCACAGUCUUUAAUGUUUAAUGAGAGUUGCUCUUUGAGUCUAGGAUUUAGUGAAAGACAUUUGGCUUGGACAAGAACUAAGACAAAUGCUGCUAACAUGAUUCUAUUCAAUUUAGUGCUUUAAAUACUUUCAGGAAUGGUGGAUUAUUUUCAAAGUAAGGUUUGUGGAAGCUGGGAAUUUUGAAGUAUUUUACCUGGAAAUUAUCUAUCGGAAUGCUUCUGUAUGCUUUAAAAAAUGUAUACUCUACAUAUGGACACAAAGAAAGGAACAAGAGACACUGGAGCCUACUUGAGGGUAGAGGGUGAGGAUUGAAAAACUACCUAUUGGGUACUCUGCUUAUUACCUGGAUGAUGAAAUAAUCUGUGCACUGAAGCCCCGCAACACACAUUGACCUAUAUAAUAAAUCUGCACAUGUGUCCCUGAACCUAAAAU